UACGGAGGGUGCGAGCGUUAUCCGGAAUUACUGGGUUUAAAGGGUGCGUAGGCGGCUAUGUAAGUCAGGAGUGAAAGUUUGCGGCUCAACCGUAAAAUUGCUUUUGAUACUGCAUGGCUAGAAUUAGGUUGAGGUUAGCGGAAUGUGGCAUGUAGCGGUGAAAUGCAUAGAUAUGCCAUAGAACACCAAUUGCGAAGGCAGCUGGCUAGACCUUUAUUGACGCUGAGGCACGAAAGCGUGGGGAGCGAACAGG
rnacentral:rRNA from 1 species